UACGUAGGGGGCUAGCGUUGUCCGGAAUCAUUGGGCGUAAAGCGCGUGUAGGCGGCCCGAUAAGUCCGCUGUGAAAGUCGAGGGCUCAACCCUCGAAUGCCGGCGGAUACUGUCGGGCUAGAGUCCGGAAGAGGCGAGUGGAAUUCCUGGUGUAGCGGUGAAAUGCGCAGAUAUCAGGAGGAACACCUACGGCGAAGGCAGCUCGCUGGGACGGUACUGACGCUGAGACGCGAAAGCGUGGGGAGCAAACAGG
rnacentral:rRNA from 1 species